UGAGAUUUUUCGCUAUAUAUUGUAUAUAAAACUACAUUUUUUUUAAAAUUUUUGGGUCAUUUUUGGUUUGAUUUUAAACAACUUUAUACCAAUAGAAGCAGAAUUGUCACAGGUUUAUUUGUUUAUUUGGUUAUAUUUUGUUUGAGAAUCAUUUCCAUUUUUUCACAAGAUAAACACAAAUAGUAUAUUCUGUUCAGAAAUUCGCUAUGUAUAUUCUUUAUUUCAAAAGCAAUACAGCUUAUAGGUAUCAAGUACAACAAAUAUUAAAUUAAAUAUAGUAAGCAACAAAUAUUACAAUAAGGUAAUUCAUUAAUAUGCAAUAAUAUGCAAUUUAUACAAUUAAAAACAAAUGUAAGAGCAUGAUAUAAAUUAGCAUAAUUUAACAAUCUUUUUAUUGACUAUUAUUAUUGAUGGAUAUUUAAACUGUUUUAAAUAUGCUUCAAAUUAAUAAUACGACACACAUUUGCUUUUUAUUUAUCGGGCCAUUUUCAUGUCACUAAAAUAUACUCUCGUCGUUAUGUACACUUGUAAUAUUUGACUCCAAUAGCCCAGACAUAUCUUUUUUUUAAAUCUUACCAUGCAUGUUUUCCCCUCUCAUAUCUGCAAUCGCUCUAAUUAUAUUUCAAUAUAAAAUUUUAUAAAAUUCGUUUUUACUUUACAGUAUAACGACAAAAGAACUAUAUAAUAAACUUAAACUUAAUUUUGCAAAGGAAUUAUAAGAGCUUUUUAUUUUUCUUCCUGUGUGUUUUUUUUUUAGCAAUUAGGUUUUUUAAUUUCUUCAAAUUUUUCCUGGUUCCUCAUGUUACAUUUUAAUUUUUCCCUCAAUUAUUUGACGUACCAUUUGUGUGUAAGUUUACUCUUGAUUUAAAUGUGCCCAGGCUAUUCUCCCCAGUAUAUCAGUUGUUUGAUGAGUUAGUAUAAAUUUAAAAUAAACUUGAGAAUGGAAAUGUGGAAUUGUCAAAAAAAAAAAAACAACCCGACCAAAGGGCAUAAAACAUAAAUAUACAGCAAAAAAUGAAGUUUUUUUUCUCAAUUCAUGACCAUUUGAUAAAUAUGAGUUAUUUCUGAAUAAAAACGCAUAAUUUUUUAGGAUACUUAUAAAAUAUAGAAAUUACAAAUUUAACAAAAAA
rnacentral:lncRNA from 1 species